AACGAACGCUGGCGGCAGGCUUAACACAUGCAAGUCGAGCGCCCCGCAAGGGGAGCGGCAGACGGGUGAGUAACACGUGGGAAUCUACCCAUCUCUACGGAAUAACGCAUGGAAACGUGUGCUAAUACCGUAUACGUCCUUCGGGAGAAAGAUUUAUCGGAGAUGGAUGAGCCCGCGUUGGAUUAGCUAGUUGGUGGGGUAAAGGCCUACCAAGGCGACGAUCCAUAGCUGGUCUGCGAUGAUGAUCAGCCACACUGGGACUGAGACACGGCCCAGACUCCUACGGGAGGCAGCUGUGGGGAAUAUUGGACAAUGGGCGCAAGCCUGAUCCAGCCAUGCCGCGUGAGUGAUGAAGGCCCUAGGGUUGUAAAGCUCUUUUACCGGUGAAGAUAAUGACGGUAACCGGAGAAGAAGCCCCGGCUAACUUCGUGCCAGCCGCCGCAGUAAUAC
rnacentral:rRNA from 1 species